rnacentral:rRNA from 1 species
ACGGAAGGCAGCAGUAGGGAAUAUUGCACAAUGGGGGGAACCCUGACGCAGCAACGCCACGUGUGGGAAGAAGCAUUUCGGUGUGUAAACCACUGUCGUGAGGGAAUAAUGCUUGGUCUCGGCCAAGUUGAAUGUACCUUGAAAGGAAGCACCGGCAAACUUCGUGCCAGCAGCCGCGGUAAUACGAGGGGUGCAAGCGUUGUUCGGAAUCACUGGGCGUAAAGGGAGCGUAGGCGGAGACGCAAGCAGUCUGUACAAUCCCGGGGCCCAACCCCGGACCUGCAGACUGGACUGUGUCUCUUGGAUAGUUCAGGGGCAGGCGGAAUUCCUGGUGUAGCGGUGGAAUGCGUAGAGAUCAGGAAGAACACCGAUGGCGAAGGCAGCCUGCUGGGGACUCAUCGACGCUGAGGCUCGAAAGUGCGGGUAGCAAACAGGAUUAGAUACCCUGGUA